GCGAUGGCGGAUACGUGGGCCAGAGCUGCCGUCGAUGCCAUUCACUUGAGUCCUACACAGGCCGUUCUCUACCUUUCCGGCGGCGCUUCUCAGGCUAUAGGAUGGUUGCUCUCAGUUCCGGGAGCUUCCGGCACAGUCCUCGAAGCUCUUGUGCCUUACUCCCGGCAUUCCAUGAUCCAGUUACUCGGCAAGGUCCCCUCUCAAUUCUGCAGCCGUAGAACUGCUGAAGAAA
rnacentral:misc_RNA from 1 species